GAGUUUGAUCAUGGCUCAGAUUGAACGCUGGCGGCGUGCCUAACACAUGCAAGUCGAGCGGUAGCAGGUGUAGCAAUACAUGCUGACGAGCGGCGGACGGGUGAGUAACGCUUGGGAAUCUGCCUAUUAGUGGGGGACAACCCGGGGAAACUCGGGCUAAUACCGCAUACGCACUACGGUGGAAAGCCGGGGACCGCAAGGCCUGGCGCUAAUAGAUGAGCCCAAGUCGGAUUAGCUAGUUGGUAGGGUAAUGGCCUACCAAGGCUACGAUCCGUAACUGGUCUGAGAGGACGACCAGUCACACCGGAACUGAGACACGGUCCGGACUCCUACGGGAGGCAGCAGUGGGGAAUAUUGGACAAUGGGCGAAAGCCUGAUCCAGCGACGCCGCGUGGGUGAAGAAGGCCUGCGGGUUGUAAAGCCCUUUCGGUAGGGAGAAAGCCUCGACCUAACACGUCGGGGUAUUGACGUAACCUACUAAAGAAGCACCGGCUAACUCUGUGCC
rnacentral:rRNA from 1 species